UCAUUACAACAGCUAUAAUGUAUAUGAAUUUACUGAUAAAUGGAUAUCUGUGGUAAAUCUAGAGCUAAUACAUGCAUAAAAACCUUUUUGUUUUACCAAAUUGGUUAAAUUAUCGUUUCAAAACUAACGGGUUCGCCCUGUUUUGUUAACUCAUGAUAAUUAAUGACCGUUCUUUAAUGAAUGGAUAUUCAUAUUUGGUAUCUGCCCUAUCAACUAUAUGACAGUCUAUUGUACGGUCAUGGUUGUGCCGGGUAACGGAGAAUUAGGGUUCGUCUCCGGAGAGAAUGCCUUAGAAACGGCUUUCACUUCCAAGGAAGGCAGCAGGCGCGAAAAUUACCCAUUCUCAGAACGAGGAGGUAGUGACGUGAAAUGACAAGCUUUAAUUCUUACGAAUUGAAGCAUUGGAAUGGUUGAAUUUUAAAAUCAUUCAAGAUUAUCAAUGAGAGGGCAAGUCUGGUGCCAGCAGCCGCGGUAAUUCCAGCUCUCAUACUACAUUGAACUGCUGUUGCGGUUAAAAAGUUCGUAGUUGCAAAUGUACAUAUAAAUGUGGUUUAUCAUUUUAUUAUGGUAUAACUGCAUUUUGUGUUAUUUAUAUUUUCUUUACGGAAAAUAUAAUGAUACCCUGAGUAAAGCAAAGUGCUCAGAACAAGCUAUUGCUUGUAUGUUUUUGCUGGGAAUAUCAAACGAAUACAUUAGUUGACGUUUGUUGGUUUAACAGCUAUGUAAUGAUUAAUAGGGAUAAACGGGGGCAAACGUAUCGCAGGGGGAGAGGUGAAAUUCGUUGAUCCUUGCGAGACGGCCUAUAGCGAAAGCAUUUGCCAAGAAUGUUUUCUUUAAUCAAGAACGAAAGUCAGAGGUUCGANGGCGAUCAGAUA
rnacentral:rRNA from 1 species